UACGAAGGGGGCUAGCGUUGCUCGGAAUCACUGGGCGUAAAGCGCACGUAGGCGGCUUUUUAAGUCAGGGGCGAAAUCCUGGAGCUCAACUCCAGAACUGCCUUUGAUACUGAGAAGCUUGAGUCCGGGAGAGGUGAGUGGAACUGCGAGUGUAGAGGUGAAAUUCGUAGAUAUUCGCAAGAACACCAGUGGCGAAGGCGGCUCACUGGCCCGGUACUGACGCUGAGGUGCGAAAGCGUGGGGAGCAAACAGG
rnacentral:rRNA from 1 species